rnacentral:misc_RNA from 1 species
AACCGCCGUGUACCGAACGGUACGCACGGUGGUGUGAGAGGACGGCGGCUAAUCACCGCCUCCUACUUGAU